CGGUCUGCUGUUCCCGGACAGGUCAGAGCAAGAAAUAACAUCAAUAAGAGCAGCUUUUUCACAAGAAGUCUCCGUCUGGCAUAAGCUUGAUCAUCCAAAUGUAACUAAGUUUAUAGGGGCUAUAAUGGGUGCUGGGGAUCUGAAUAUUCAGACAGAAGAUGGAAAUAUUGGCAUGCCAAGUAAUGUCUGCUGUGUCAUUGUGGAGUACCUUGCUGGAGGUGCACUGAAAACAUUUCUGAUAAAGAACAGGAGAAGGAAGUUGGCUUUCAAAGUUGUGGUGCAGAUAGCUCUCGACCUUGCCAGGGGAUAAAUUAAGCUAUUUUCACUUGAAGAAAAUCGUGCACCGUGACGUGAAGACUGAAAACAUGCUUCUUGACAAAACAAGAACUGUCAAAAUAGCCGACUUUGGUGUUGCUCGCCAUGAGGCUGCAAACCCCAGCGACAUGACAGGCGAAACAGGCACCCUUGGCUACAUGGCCCCUGAGGUAUCUAUCUUAUCUUGGAUGGUAUCCUUGUGUCCUCACAGUUUCCCACGGCCGCCAACGAGUGGAUCGUCACCCGCAAGUCCGGGAACAGCAGACCGACGCCGCCGGGCCUGAAACGGCGGCGCGAGCUCCAUUGGCUGGAGCUGCUGGUUGGAGCGCUUCUUCUGUCGUCCGGGUGCUACGACUGCGUGCACGGGCACGUUCUGCGGGCUCUGCGCGGC